UACGAAGGGGGCUAGCGUUGCUCGGAAUCACUGGGCGUAAAGGGGUGCGUAGGCGGGUCUUAAGUCAGGGGUGAAAUCCCGGGGCUCAACCCCGGAACUGCCUUCGAUACUGGGUAUCUUGAGUUCGGAAGAGGUGAGUGGAAUUGCGAGUGUAGAGGUGAAAUUCGUAGAUAUUCGCAGGAACACCAGUGGCGAAGGCGGCUCACUGGUCCGAUACUGACGCUGAGGUGCGAAAGCGUGGGGAGCAAACAGG
rnacentral:rRNA from 1 species